CUUUGAAUGAAAGCAGGCUCCAGAGGGCACUGAUCUCUAGACUGAUAUGCCUAAACAUAUCAGUGUACCUGCUGCCAGACCUCCUCCCCAUUCCCUGAGAUUUCUGCAUUAUCACUUCUUUUCACAAGUCUCUUGGAUCUGUGACUGAGCAUUUCUGACCUGUAAAGGAGAGCUUCUGCUGCUGUCACGCAUGCUGGCUGCACCCUUAUCUCUUCCUUUGCUCUCAAGGCUUAACCCUGUUGACUUCAGCACUGUGGAGCAAGCUGCUUGUCACCGGCUGCAGUCAGAGUACAUGUGAAUGUCCUCCCUCACUGCACCUGCCAGGUGUAUUGGAAUGAGGUUAAGUUGCCACCUCUCACACCCAUGAGACAAGCAAGUGACUCCCAGGCAAUAGACUGAAGCUGUGGUAGUGCCUCCAUACAAAUGUGCACACCUGGCCAGCUGGAAGAGAUCUGUGUCAUCCUCAUGGGAAACACCACUAUGGUGUGGUGCCACCUGUCACUGUGGGUUUGAGAGGAGACACAAUGCCACAGGGAAGUAUUUUAAAAUUACACCUGUGUUGUCCUGCUCUGUACCAAACUUGAAGCUGUGAGUGGGAACAACUCAUCUGAUUUCAAGAGCUUUGAUGCAACCUAAGAGUAACAUAAAUAUCUGUGUUAAGCCUGGAUCAGAAUAAAAGAAUCAUAAGGAAAAAGAAAAUCCAAAGAAGGAAAUCUCAAGUUAAAGACAGCAUAAGGAAGUAAUCUCUCUAAUUAUGAUAUGCAGUUUCACCACACUCAUUCUGCAUCCAGAAACCCAAAAUGAGCAUUUGCUCAGAGCCAGCAAAAGUUAACUCUU